GGGGGAACGGCCGGGCCUGCCCGGCGGUGCGGGGUCAGAGCUGAUCGGGCCGUCUGGGGAGGAAUCUGGGAAAGCAUGCAACUCACCGGUGAAUGGUGCCUCACCCAGCACAAGGACCCAACCGGAGGAUACAACCACAAGAUCAAAGUGUCGAGCAGGAAAAAAACCCAACAAGUUUAGCGAAAGUGUGGCGCACCUACAGGGCUUUUCUGCACUUAAAUCCAAAUUUGGUCUUUUCUUUCAUCUUGAUGUUAAAAAGAAGAAAACUCACCAGUGCAGCCAGGCGGUGUGACAGUGUCAUGCUAUUUUUCUAGGCUGCCCAUGCAACUUUCUACCUCUCUCCCAAUAUACCUUCCCACCGCAUAACCCUUCAAACCUGCGCUGAAAGUAUCGGAAAGGGAAUAACCAAAAAUGCUCUAAUAUUCUGCUGGAUUGAAGGUACCUUGAAGACAGUGGAUGCAAAUCUCAUCUCCUUGUCAUCCAGAUCCAAUGGACUGCAGAGGAAUCCUCAUGAUUUCAGUAGCCUGUUAUCAAGCCAUCAUUUCUCUUCCACAUGCUUCAUCUGCCAGUGGUAGGAGAGAUCAGAGUACCAGUGGUUGCACUUUUUGUCUCCUAACACCAUUAUUUCAGAUCAGCCUACCCUGACACACGGCCCAGGCCAGAGGAAGAUGGGAGACAAAUCAUCCCGAGGUUUUGCAAAAUGCUCACGUUGCCCUGCCUCCCGCAUUCUGCCAUCCACACUGGGAACGGCUGACAGGCAGCGUGUCUCUUACUGCAUUGCACAACCUCUGGAAAACGAGUGCUGAGAAAUCAGAGCAUCUGUAUGUCUCAAACCCCUACAGCAAAGCAACCAAGACCAGAUCUCAGCUGGGAGCUCCAUGGGAAAAAGCACUGAAAACAGACGAUGUUACAGCUCUAAGUAGGCUGGGGAAUCCUGUUAGACUGUCGAGGCUUUCAAACCAACGGCACAAGUCCGGGCAGUGUCUAGUGGUGCUUCCCACCCAAACAGUGGUCUGCUGAGGCCACCUGUGUCACACACCUGUCCCCCACCUUAGGUGCACUGUGAUGUGCACAGGAGUUGCUCUGGGGACUCCACUGACCUGUUUCUUUCAGCCGUGCAUUUAAUGAGCAUUCAACACUGGAAUGAAGAGCACAUUUCCCCACAUCUGCUUGCAUCAUUGGGAAGAAUCGAGCUGACACUGGACAACUUGUUAUGUACUAACCACUUCAUGCCAUGAAAGCAUAAAUGCAGAAGAGAUGAUGGAGCAUCACUUACAAUUUUUGCAUUUUCCUUUUCUGUUGGAAUAAUUCUACCUAUGAUUGUUCCUAUUACUCCAGGCCCUACCACAUCCCUUCUGAAACUGCUAACACCAAAUAAAUAAAAGUACAGUUUUGGA